AGUGUGGAAUUGAGCCAAGGAUGACUUGCCGGCAGCUGCAGCAAGGCAUUAAGGUUUAACUGGCUAUAACUGGCAAGCAUCCGAGGCUCUGUUUCACCCUCU
rnacentral:pre_miRNA from 11 species